rnacentral:rRNA from 1 species
UACGUAGGGUGCAAGCGUUGUCCGGAAUUAUUGGGCGUAAAGAGCUCGUAGGCGGUCUGUCGCGUCUGCUGUGAAAACCUAGGGCUUAACUCUGGGCGUGCAGUGGGUACGGGCAGGCUAGAGUGCGGUAGGGGAGACUGGAAUCCUGGUGUAGCGGUGGAAUGCGCAGAUAUCAGGAAGAACACCCGUGGCGAAGGCGGCUCUCUGGAACGCAACUGACGCUGAGACGCGAAAGCGUGGGGAGCGAACAGG